GGAAUUGACGGGACCGCACAAGCGGUGGAUGAUGUGGUUAAUUCGAUGCAACGCGAAAACCUUACCCACCUUUGACAUGUACGGAAUCCUUUAGAGAUAGAGGAGUGCUCGAAAGAGAGCCGUAACACAGGUGCUGCAUGGCUGUCGUCAGCUCGUGUCGUGAGAUGUUGGGUUAAGUCCCGCAACGAGCGCAACCCUUGUCAUUAGUUGCUACAUUCAGUUGGGCACUCUAAUGAGACUGCCGGUGACAAACCGGAGGAAGGUGGGGAUGACGUCAAGUCCUCAUGGCCCUUAUAGGUGGGGCUACACACGUCAUACAAUGGAUGGUACAAAGGGUCGCCAACCCGCGAGGGGGAGCCAAUCCCAUAAAGCCAUUCGUAGUCCGGAUCGCAGUCUGCAACUCGACUGCGUGAAGUCGGAAUCGCUAGUAAUCGUGGAUCAGAAUGUCACGGUGAAUACGUUCCCGGGUCUU
rnacentral:rRNA from 1 species